rnacentral:lncRNA from 1 species
CGUAAUCUACUUUACUCUUAAAUAAAGCACUCUUUGCAGUACACAUUUACUAACGACUUUAAUCAAAACAUACAAACGUCUAAGAGUAAAGUAGAUUAAUCCAUGGUAAAUUCUUUUAUUAGUUAUGUUAUAGUAUUAUAAAAAAGAAAACAAGAUGAUGCAAUACCAACUUUGGUACACAAACAAAAAAUAUGACUUAAUUAAAAUAUAUGUCAUCUUUAUAUGUGAUUCAUUUAUAUCUUCCACAAUUCGAACAUUAUCUAUUUGUCACAUAUUUAUAAAUUAGGAUAAUAAUUUAUAAAUAUUAUAUUUAUUAUUAUUGUAAUUUUUUAUUUUUCACAAUUGGUGAGGUCAUUCUCUUUACAGUUUAACUUCUUUCUCAUAGAACAGUGUAUGAAUGCAUAUCUGAAUAGAGCUUGAAAAAUCACAUUCUUGUAUGCCACAGGAUUCAAUGAUCCUUCUGAAAUAUAAAUGGCUCUAUAUGUAGGCUUACUUAGACACUAAUAAUAUAAAUACAUUUCAACUUGCUGUAUUGAUAUUCAAUCUAACAAAUGAGUUUUUUUACAAUACAGUGUUAAUAUUAGAUUCUUAUUAGAAAACAUAUCUUUGAAAAACUACCAGAUUCUCUUUCUCUGUAACAGCAAAAAUGCUGCCAACCUUUUGUACAAAAGAGUUUAAACUGAUUGUGCAAUGCAUUUAUAAUGUCAUUUUCCAUGAACUUCUGUGACUCCUAUCAAAGAGUUAUCUCAGCACAAAUCUCUCUUUUAUCAAAAUUUAAGUAUAAGUGGCAAAUAAAAUGCAAAUAUCGAAAAUAUUAGCUGAUGGCACAUUAUUUUGUUGCAAAUGUUGAAAAAAAUCCUAUAAAGCUACAAAGUAACCACCUCAAUAUUUACCCAGGGAUACAAACUUUCAUAAUCAGUGCUAGGAAUUAUUCCAGAAGCUAUCCGUUUUCAAAUAAUUUAUUCAAAAAUUACACAAGAGAAGAAAAUGCAUGCUCAUCACUUUCAUUAUCUAUUUAUACCAGUAAGUCUGGAACAGGACAGACUUUAAUCUGAGAGUUGCAUAGUAACAUUGUCAUUCUAGCAGUUAUUUUAUUAUUUUUAUCAGUGUGAAUUAUUUUUUCUUUACUAAGAAUAAUGUAGAAAGUCUUUUAUGCAUGUGUGAAUGUGCAAAGGAUGUGAAAUCACACUUUAAUAAUAGUUAUUUAGUUGAAAAUGUUCCCAGAAAUAAAAAUUUUCCUGUUUAAGGCUUUAUAUGCUUUAUUUAUUAAAUCUUAUAAUGCAUAUAAUGAAUAAGGAAUUUAUAUCAUCCUAAGAUGAUAUUAAUUUAAU